UCUCUGAUUCACCAAGGGAGGGUUGGC
rnacentral:piRNA from 1 species